rnacentral:rRNA from 1 species
UACGGAGGGGGCUAGCGUUGUUCGGAAUUACUGGGCGUAAAGCGCACGUAGGCGGCUUCGUAAGUUAGAGGUGAAAGCCCGGAGCUCAACUCCGGAAUUGCCUUUAAGACUGCAUCGCUAGAAUUGUGGAGAGGUAAGUGGAAUUCCGAGUGUAGAGGUGAAAUUCGUAGAUAUUCGGAAGAACACCAGUGGCGAAGGCGACUUACUGGACGACUGUUGACGCUGAGGUGCGAAAGCGUGGGGAGCAAACAGG